rnacentral:misc_RNA from 1 species
AUGUCAAAACCCAUACGAAAAACACACCCCUUAAUUAAAAUUAUAAAUGGUUCUUUGGUUGAUUUACCAUCUCCUACGAAUAUUUCUUAUAUAUGAAACUUUGGAUCCUUAUUAGGAUUAUGUUUAGGAAUUCAAAUUGUUACAGGAUUAUUUCUGGCUAUACAUUUUGCUUCAGAUAUUAGUAUUGCUUUUUCAUCUGUUGUCCACAUUAUACGAGAUGUAAAUAGAGGAUGAUUAAUCCGAACGCUGCAUGCUAAUGGAGCUUCAUUCUUCUUUAUUUGUAUUUAUCUUCACGUCUCGCGGGGAAUUUACUAUGGAUCAUAUAAAAUGUUCCAUACUUGAAUGACAGGAAUUGUUAUUUUAUUCUUGACUAUGGCUGCUGCCUUUAUUGGUUAUGUAUUACCAUGAGGUCAAAUGUCGUUCUGAGGGGCUACAGUAAUUACUAAUCUAUUCUCUGCUAUUCCUUAUAUUGGACCGAGCCUUGUAGAAUGAAUGUGAGGAGGUUUUGCCGUCGAUAAUGCCACUUUGACCCGAUUCUUUGCCCUUCAUUUUCUUGUUCCCUUCUUAAUUUUAGGAAUAGCAGUUGUUCAUCUUCUUUUUCUUCACCAAACAGGAUCUAAUAACCCUUUGGGAGUAAAUAGAAAUGUUGAUAAAAUUCCGUUUCACCCUUAUUUUACAUUCAAAGACAUUUUUGGUUUCUGUAUUAUAAUUUUUGGUUUAAUCAUAAUUACAUUAUGAAGUCCUUACUUGUUAGGAGAUCCAGAAAAUUUUAUUCCGGCUAACCCUUUAGUUACUCCGGAACAUAUUAAACCGGAAUGAUAUUACUUAUUUGCUUAUGCUAUUUUACGAUCAAUUCCCAAUAAAUUAGGAGGGGUAAUUGCUUUAGUAAUAUCUAUUUUAAUUCUAGCCAUUUUACCUCUAUCACAAAAAAGAAACUUUCGGGCUUUAACUUUUUAUCCUGUAUCUAAAUUUCUUUUCUGAUCAUAUAUUAGAACAGCCAUCCUUUUAACCUGAAUUGGAGGUAUACCAGUAGAAGACCCUUAUAUUAUUAUUGGCCAGCUUCUGACAUUGUUUUAUUUUUCUUUCUUUAUCACUUGUCCUUUGGCGAAUCUAUUAUGAGAUAAAUUGAUUCAAAAAUAG